UUUUCUUCCCUCUUCCCUCUGUCCUCUCCCCGACCCUCCCCCAGCACAGACGGGGUGUUUUGUCCACCCCACCACCAGCUGUCCACACUCUAGAGAAGCGGCACAACCUUGUCCCCAGAACUGAGGAGGGGGGCUGUCUACCCCUAGCCCCAGGCUGAGGCUGCAACUCAAGCAGGACCCAGGGCACACAUCCCUGCUGGGGGAAGGGAAUGCCUCCUCCCUUCAGGAACAUCCAGAGUUUGUAGCGUGGAGACCCUAAUAAUAUUUCCAGCAGCUCCUGAGGUUUGAAUCUAACUUGCAAAUGCCCCCUUUGAUCUCCCUCCUUUGGUGGUUAGGUGCUGCUGGAGCAGGGUCCAGAAGGGUGUAGAGACUGGCCAGCCCCUCUGCAGUUGCUCUCAACCAGGUUGAUUCUGCAGUGUGGUGAAGUCCUGCAUGCUCAGUUUUGAUAUCCCUGCUGGCUUGCCACCAUCAUAGUAUCCACCACCAGCGUCUCCCUGGGCUGUUCUCCAAACCCCACGGUAGUUCCUGUGCUCUUUCCCCUCAGCCUCUGCCCACCACCACACCCUCAUGUUCUUGAUUCUCUGCAGCAGGCCCCUGACUUCUGUGUGCUAUGCUGUUGAGCCGAACUCAUUCAUGCCCCAGGGCCUUUGCACGUGUGGCUCUCCUUCGGGAGACAGGGACGCUGUACUUGACAGUCCUAUUGAAUCUGAGCAUUGGUUCACUGGAGUUUUCUCACGCUCAAACUGAGCUUCAGUCACACAUCCCUACAGCACAGGGACAGCUCUCAAUGAACCCCUACAGCGCAGCCUGCCUCUGCACACACUGGGCAGAGGCUGGGCCCUCUCUGUGAGCAUCUCAUAUCCUGGAUCUCAGUUUCCCUGCCUGAAGGAAUUUUAAAUCUCCAGCCUGAGGAGUUGUCCCAUCCCACCAACCCGGAUGCACCUGGAGCCCUGCGGGAGGCUUGGGAAAACUGUCCCUCCCCAGCAGGGACUCGCUGAAGCCCAGAGCGGCCUCCCGGGGAGUCGGCUCCCAGCCGGGAUGAAAGGGAGCCCGGCGAAGCCACCUCCCCAAGGCCCACCCGCCCCUUCCGCAACCGGAUCCCGCGGCGGCCGCUUUGAUGUCCCAGCCCUCGCUGGGGAGGGCGGCCCGGGGGACUCCCAGGCCGACUUGAAAGGGUGAGCCGCGCAGCCGGGUCUUCCCAGGACCGUGGGGUUGGGAGAAGGAUUGGGGGG